GGCCGUGUGGUCUAGUAGUAUGAUACUCGCUUUGGGAAGAUUAUCGUCUGAAAGAUUGCGAGUGGUCCUGGGUUCAAUUCCCAGCUCGGCCC
rnacentral:tRNA from 1 species